rnacentral:tRNA from 1 species
GGAGAUAUAGCUCAGUUGGUAGUGUUUGCAUCACAUGCAUAGGCCCUGGGUUCAAUCCCCAGUGCCACCA